AGUGAACGCUGGCGGUAGGCCUAACACAUGCAAGUCGAACGGCAGCACAGGAGAGCUUGCUCUCUGGGUGGCGAGUGGCGGACGGGUGAGGAAUACAUCGGAAUCUACUCUGUCGUGGGGGAUAACGUAGGGAAACUUACGCUAAUACCGCAUACGACCUACGGGUGAAAAGCAGGGGACCUUCGGGCCUUGCGCGAUUGAAUGAGCCGAUGUCGGAUUAGCUAGUUGGCGGGGUAAAGGCCCACCAAGGCGACGAUCCGUAGCUGGUCUGAGAGGAUGAUCAGCCACACUGGAACUGAGACACGGUCCAGACUCCUACGGGAGGCAGCAGUGGGGAAUAUUGGACAAUGGGCGCAAGCCUGAUUCAGCCAUACCGCGUGGGUGAAGAAGGCCUUCGGGUUGUAAAGCCCUUUUGUUGGGAAAGAAAUCCAGCUGGCUAAUACCCGGUUGGGAUGACGGUACCCAAAGAAUAAGCACCGGCUAACUUCGUGCCAGCCGCCGCGGUAA
rnacentral:rRNA from 1 species